rnacentral:rRNA from 1 species
CAAUAGCGUAUAUUAAAGUUGUUGCAGUUAAAAAGCUCGUAGUUGGAUUUCUGAUCGAGACAUCAGGACGGGUCCGAGAGGAUCAUGUACUUUGAUUUUGUUUUGAUCAUCCUUGGGGAGAGCAUUUCUGGCAUUCAGUUGUCGGGAUUGGGAUCCUCAUCGUUUACUGUGAAAAAAUUAGAGUGUUCAAAGCAGGCCUCGGCCUCUGAAUACAUUAGCAUGGAAUAAUAAGAUAGGACUUUGGUGGUCUAUUUUGUUGGUUUGCACGCCAAAGUAAUGAUUAAUAGGGAUAGUUGGGGGUAUUCGUAUUCAAUUGUCAGAGGUGAAAUUCUUGGAUUUAUGGAAGACGAACUACUGCGAAAGCAUUUACCAAGGAUGUUUUCAUUAA